rnacentral:misc_RNA from 1 species
AAGUCGUAACAAGGUUUCCGUAGGUGAACCUGCGGAAGAUCAUUAACACGUAUCCAACGUUAAACAACCCUGUGAACUUUCAGCGCUUUUGUAGCCCUGGAGGAACAGCAAUCCCGGUAAAUCAAAUGGCGGAAAGAGUUUUGAUUCGGGACCUCUGUCCAAAAGGUAUCAAGUUACAAUCGAGCAGAGCAGUGGCAUGGUUUCCACUGAGUAAGGAUAACGCAUCACGGUUGCCAGAGGUCGAUCACCGGCCGGCAGACAUGUCACAGGGCUUUACGCCCCUUCAUUCACCCCUUGCCUAAUCAAGCCUCACGGAAACGCCGGGCAUAAAAACCGAACAACUGUUAACAAUGGAUAUCUUGGUUCUC